UGGGUGUGCUCAGGACAGAAGGCUCCUCUAACACACCCAGGAGGAACCUGGCCAUUGUGUGAAGACGGUUACAAAAUGUGUGGUAUUCCUCUGAACAAAUACCAUAUAUGU